CUCCAUAGGGUGCCCGGCUGGGCCCUUGUCCCCAGUGCCCUCCCUGGCUGCCAGACCUCUCACUGUGAGGCAGCCAGGUCUCUCCCUGUCCUGGCAGAGGGAAGGCUGUUGCUCCCAUCUGGCUCUGCUCCUGGCCAUCUGCCCUCUGACCCCACCUGCCCCAGGAUGAGUCCCUGCAGAAUGCUCGAGUUAAACAGAGUCUGAGGGAGUAGUGAGUCCAGCCUUCCCAUUUGGCAGAUGAGAAAACUGAGGCCCAGGGAGGCAAAGAGCCUUGUCUGAGGUCACACCAGGAACGCAGAGUUCCAUCUAUGGCUUGAUGUUCUUCCAGGACAGGAGAAGACCUUGGUUUUGACCCUGAGGAAACAGCAAAACUUGGACCUUGAAGACAGGAGAUUGCCAUGACUAAUUUGGGGGCAGGCGGUGUGACUUUGAGUAUGUUACCUAACCUUGCUGAGCCACGUGGUACUGGUGAGGAUUCGGUGAGAUGACAACUGGUCACAGCAUGGCAGGCCUCCUGGCAUGUCCCUGACUCUCCUUCAACAGGAGCUUUCGAUAUAUUAGGGAGCAGGCUGUUGUGCCCCUUGGUGAGAUCACUUCGGGAUGUAGAGCCUUGUGAGCGCAGGCCUCCCAGAAGUCCAUCUUCCUCACCAACAAAUGACCCGGUUCCGGAGAAAGAUCUCGCCUUUGGUUGCAAGGGUCGGAUGGCAGUGGCAAUGAACCGGCUCGAUGUUUCACUGUCUUCACUGUCUGCCUCCCUCCCUGGACUGUGAGUCCUCCAAGGGCUGUUAGUGUGUUUGUGCACUCACAGUUGAACCCCAGAACCCAGGCAGGCCUGGCCCGUGGUGGGUAGGUGCCCAUUGUUUGUUUGUUGAAUGAGU
rnacentral:lncRNA from 1 species